UUAUCAUUCCUCCCUUCCUCAUCAACCAUAUGUUAUCUGACCUGGUUUUAUUGUAAUUAUUGGGGGACACAGAAGGCAUCUUCCCAAAGAACAGAACGCCUUCAGGAGGUCCCUGGGAAACAACAGUGCCCAGUUAGCUGAUUCUUCCACUCCAAAAACAUCACUGGAUUCCUUCUGACACAAACAAAGAAAACUCUAGUUAUUAGCUAGUACCCUGGGUUUCAGUCUUGAUUGCGUUACUGGUAUUCUUAAUGUUUCUAAUGUGUUUAAUUAAUUAUGUGGUUUUUUUCUUGCAUUCAGUGACAACUCACUCACUGGAGCCUGUCCUGGAAAUGACUUCAUAGAACGGUGGCAAAUAAACGAAAUUAAAUAAACCUCAACAUGUCUUGGGUAUUGGUUGAUGACAGCCGAACAUCUCCCCUCACGACACAUGGUGUCUGCACUAGAGCAGCAAUAUAAAGUGUCAACUUGUCAGAAACAGUUUCUCCUCAAAUGAAAUGUCAGUCUAAGUUCUCGCAUGGACUGCAUGGAGCUUCUUGCAUAACCUGGUGGGGUGUGACCUCAUUAACCCCAGAAGUCCUACACUGUCAAUUAUGGCCAAGUCACUGAAGAAUUUCCAGUGAGCUCCAUGCUGGCCAGACUGCAUGUGUCAUUUAUUUAUUCAUGUAAGAGUGAAGACCCGUUGAGGUCAGCUGCAAAAACAGCACCUUCCACAUUUCUGUUCUAAGCUUGGGUCAUACCUCUUUCAUAAAAGCUAUAUAUCUUGUAUUUGAACAUGUCUGCCGUACAGAUGGGAUUCUUCCAGAAAUGGGAAAAAUGGCCAAGUCACUGAAGAAUUUCCAGUGAGCUCCAUGCUGGCCAGACUGCAUGUGUCAUUUAUUUAUUCAUGUAAGAGUGAAGACCCGUUGAGGUCAGCUGCAAAAACAGCACCUUCCACAUUUCUGUUCUAAGCUUGGGUCAUAUCUCUUUUCCUUCAAGCUACCAGCAUUUUCCAGCUACUCAUGCUGGCGGGGUGGGGGGUGCUGGAUG
rnacentral:lncRNA from 1 species